GAUGAACGCUGGCGGCGUGCCUAAUACAUGCAAGUCGAGCGAACAGGCGAGGAGCUUGCUCCUCUGACGUUAGCGGCGGACGGGUGAGUAACACGUGGAUAACCUACCUAUAAGACUGGGAUAACUUCGGGAAACCGGAGCUAAUACCGGAUAAUAUAUUGAACCGCAUGGUUCAAUAGUGAAAGACGGUUUUGCUGUCACUUAUAGAUGGAUCCGCGCCGCAUUAGCUAGUUGGUAAGGUAACGGCUUACCAAGGCAACGAUGCGUAGCUGACCUGAGAGGGUGAUCGGCCACACUGGAACUGAGACACGGUCCAGACUCCUACGGGAGGCAGCAGUAGGGAAUCUUCCGCAAUGGGCGAAAGCCUGACGGAGCAACGCCGCGUGAGUGAUGAAGGUCUUCGGAUCGUAAAACUCUGUUAUUAGGGAAGAACAAAUGUGUAAGUAACUAUGCACGUCUUGACGGUACCUAAUCAGAAAGCCACGGCUAACUACGUG
rnacentral:rRNA from 1 species